rnacentral:piRNA from 1 species
UUCUUAGGACAAUGUCAAGAAGG